UGCUCCCUAUCCACUUCCUCUCAUACUAGAUCAAGGUUUUGCUGGUGUUUUGCAUGACUGGUGUGAACCGUUCCCUACAUAUCCUGGAACCUAUGAUUUGCUGCAUGCGAAUGGGCUGCUAUCACAUCUGUCUUCAGAGAGGUGCGGCAUGAUGGAUUUAUUCUUGGGGAUGGAUCGGAUUCUGCAAACUGAGGUACUCUUAUUUCCCCCUUGCUUAUAUUAUAUUUCUAUACUGCAAGAUGCAAAGUAAGAUGAAGAAGUCUAUUGUCUGUAUUUCCUUCUUUUGUUCCUAAUAUUGAUUUUAUAAUCCACCUUUAGAAAUCAAACUUCAUUUUGUAAGUUGUCAACUGAUACAAAUCUUGUUUUUCCUCUAUUUGCUCUGAACAUGAUGAAUUUGGCAAUGUAAUACAUGCUCAGAAUCCGAAGAACCUUGGAGGAGAAAUACAAGUUAAAGUUGUACUAAUAAUAAUAAGGGAGAUUCACUAUUAUACUCAAUACAUGGCCCCAAAUUAUAAAAA